rnacentral:rRNA from 1 species
AAGUGAGAAUGCCGGUGUGAGUAGCGAAAGACGGGUGAGAAUCCCGUCCACCGAUUGACUAAGGUUUCCAGAGGAAGGCUCGUCCGCUCUGGGUUAGUCGGGUCCUAAGCUGAGGCCGACAGGCGUAGGCGAUGGAUAACAGGUUGAUAUUCCUGUACCACCUAUAAUCGUUUUAAUCGAUGGGGGGACGCAGUAGGAUAGGCGAAGCGUGCGAUUGGAUUGCACGUCUAAGCAGUAAGGCUGAGUAUUAGGCAAAUCCGGUACUCGUUAAGGCUGAGCUGUGAUGGGGAGAAGACAUUGUGUCUUCGAGUCGUUGAUUUCACACUGCCGAGAAAAGCCUCUAGAUAGAAAAUAGGUGCCCGUACCGCAAACCGACACAGGUAGUCAAGAUGAGAAUUCUAAGGUGAGCGAGCGAACUCUCGUUAAGGAACUCGGCAAAAUGACCCCGUAACUUCGGGAGAAGGGGUGCUCUUUAGGGUUAACGCCCAGAAGAGCCGCAGUGAAUAGGCCCAAGCGACUGUUUAUCAAAAACACAGGUCUCUGCUAAACCGUA